rnacentral:tRNA from 1 species
CCUUAAAUAAGCUAAAAUAAGCUGGUGGGCUCAUAACCCACAAAUGGUAAAACCUUUAAGGA